rnacentral:tRNA from 1 species
GGGGGUAUAGCUCAGUGGUAGAGUUCCUGCUUAGCAUGCAUGAGGUUCCGUGUUCGAUCUCCAGUACCUCCA